GCCAGGGCUGCGGGCAUAACAGAUGUGAGGCAACCUUAGGCUGAAGCAGCAAAGUCCACAUCCAGGGCAGAUGCCCCUCCUCCCCUUUCCUGUGCCUCCUGGUCCUGAGACUGAGUGAGGUUCUGGUUCUGCCAGGUCCCGCAAGCCUCGGGAAUUAAUUCUGUUCUGGGCGGUGUAGCUCUUCCCUGACUGGACUGCUCAUUUACUUGCUCUCCAGCGGUCAAGCUGCGGUAGCUGAGACUCCAAGAAUGAGGAUUUAAAGGAAACUGACAAUAACCUUGGAAGCACAUGGAAUUCAGCAAGCGUUUUCUGGGAACCUCCUCUGUGCCAAGUGCUAUAUUGUUCCCUGUGGGAAGAUGUAAAACAGUUCCUGCUCUACAGAUACUUCUAGUCUACCUCGGGAUUCAGGAAGGAUGUAUGAAAACUUGACCACCACCACAAUAACAGUUCAGGGCAACAGUUACAAGGCUUCCCAGGAUUAACUGUCAAGUGAAUCGCACAGAUAAUCAUUGUCCUAGGAACUCCUGAGACCACUCUUUGAGUUUGCUAUUGGGCAAGGAAUUUGAACAGGCAUCCAAAGAUUGGGAAGAUGCUCCAAAACAGACUGGAGAGAAGAGCGGAAGUCAGAGUGAGAUACUGGAGCAGUUUCUCUUUUGGAAGAAUUCCUUCUGGGGAAAAAGUCUCCAUGGAGGUACGGGAUUUGUCCCAGGGGGCUGAGUCACCUGCCCAUGACUUGUUCGUUAAUUCAUGGCAAAUCCAGGCUUAGAACUCCAGGGUCUGUUUGAGUAAAGGGGUCAUGUUAUUGGGGUCUAUCUUGGAUCUUUGAUGAGAAAGUGAAAGUCAAAGUUGCUCAGUCAUGUCUGACUCUUUGUGACCCCAUGGACUAUAGUCCAUGGAAUUCUCCAGGCCAGAAUACUGAUGGGAAAGAUCAGAGCAAUGAUAACAGGAUUCUCUGAGUGACUUCGGGAUCCUUGUGCCUGCAGGUUAGAAUCUAUCUAAUCCUGUCUUGGAAAGUUUCGUAUUUUCUUCUGGAAAUCUUUUUUUUUUUUUUCAUAUGAAAGUGGUUAUGGGAACACCCAGAUUGUGGCUGUAUCUGGCCACAUUCCUAGGUUUGAGUGUCUGCCUGAUACCAGUUGAACACUUAACAGGUCAUCAUAGGAGGCUGUUUUAGUGACUCCAACCUGGAACCUGGAGGAAGUCAAGAGGGAAACAGGAAGAAGUGACAAGUACAGAGAAUGGAAGGACCCAUAUGGAUAACUUAUAACUGGUGUGCCCAAGGAGUCCUAGUUGCUCUGCAGAGUCGUGGCUUUCAAAAUUUGUCUUAUGAACUGCAAAGCCCAGUUCAGUUAAACUUCUCACUCAAAAAUUUCCCAAUUUAGAACAGAUGAAGAUGGUCUUCCCAUAUCCCCUG
ensembl:lncRNA